rnacentral:lncRNA from 1 species
ACCUAAACAAAGAAGAAGGAAAAACAUCUAAGAGAGAGAAGCCCAAUUAGGAGGGCUGAUGAAGAACAGGAUUCUGGGCAGGAAGAGUGUACUAUCAUGGAAGUCAGCAAAUAGGCACGUGGAAUAAGCCAGGCCAAUAUCAAAGCCAAGAAGUCCACAGAUAAGAAGCCAAUUCAAGUUCCAAGUACAGAGACAGUUGUAGUGCAGUAAUUCAAAAUAUAGCAUCU